UUCCCGGAACGAGGUAUAGGUGCAAAUCCUAUCUUCCGCUCCAUAAUUUAAUAAUAAUGCGGGAGUAUUUCAA
rnacentral:tRNA from 1 species